UCUGCCUUAUAGGUCAGCGGUCUCACUAGAGUACCCAACUAAAUGAUGGCAACUAGUGACGAGGGUUGCGCUCGUUGCGGGACUUAACCCAACAUCUCACAACACGAGCUGACGACAGCCAUGCAGCACCUGUCACCGCGUCUCCGAAGAGAAUCCCCGCUUUCACGGGGUAGCGCGGGAUGUCAAGCCUAGGUAAGGUUUUUCGCGUAGCAUCGAAUUAAACCACAUGCUCCACCGCUUGUGCGGGCCCCCGUCAAUUCCUUUGAGUUUUAAUCUUGCGACCGUAAUCCCCAGGCGGAGUACUUAAUGCGUUAGCUUCGUCACCGAGACAAUUAGGUAUCCCGACAACUAGUACUCAUCGUUUAGGGCGUGGACUAC
rnacentral:misc_RNA from 1 species